rfam:Asian citrus Psyllid, Diaphorina citri - Florida Strain, whole genome shotgun sequence.
GCCUAGUUAGCUUAGUUGGUAGUGCGUCUGCCUUGUAAGCGCUAGGCCGCGGGCUCGAUUCCCGCUCGGGGCG